CGAGUAGGUGGCUCGAUAAGUAGGAGGUGAAAUCUCACGGCUCAACCGGGAGGCUGCCUUCUAGACUGUCGAGCUCGAGCAUGGUAGAGGCAGAUGGAAUUCCCGGUGUAGCGGUGGAAUGCGUAGAGAUCGGGAAGAACACCAGUGGCGAAGGCGGUCUGCUGGGCCAUAGCUGACACUGAAUCGCGACAGCGUGGGGAGCAAACA
rnacentral:rRNA from 1 species